AGCGAACGCUGGCGGCAGGCCUAACACAUGCAAGUCGAACGAACCUUUCGGGGUUAGUGGCGGACGGGUGAGUAACACGUGGGAACGUGCCUUUAGGUUCGGAAUAACUCAGGGAAACUUGUGCUAAUACCGAAUGUGCCCUUCGGGGGAAAGAUUUAUCGCCUAUAGAGCGGCCCGCGUCUGAUUAGCUAGUUGGUUGAGGUAAUGGCUCACCAAGGCGACGAUCAGUAGCUGGUCGGAGAGGAUGAUCUGCCACAUUGGGACUGAGACACGGCCCAAACUCCUACGGGAGGCAGCAGUGGGGAAUCUUGCGCAAUGGGCGAAAGCCUGACGCAGCCAUGCCGCGUGAAUGAUGAAGGUCUUAGGAUUGUAAAAUUCUUUCACCGGGGACGAUAAUGACGGUACCCGGAGAAGAAGCCCCGGCUAACUUCGUG
rnacentral:rRNA from 1 species